GACGAACCGUGCGAACGUUGUUCGGAAUCACUGGGCUUAAAGGGAGCGUAGGCGGGCUAUCGAGUCUGGGGUGAAAUGCCACGGCUCAACCGUGGAACUGCCUCAGAUACUGACGGCCUCGAGGGAGAUAGGGGCAUGCGGAACUGUAGGUGGAACGGUGAAAUGCGUUGAUAUCUACAGGAACUCCGGUGGCGAAAGCGGCGUGCUGGAUCUCUUCUGACGCUGAGGCUCGAAAGCUAGGGGAGCAAACGGG
rnacentral:rRNA from 1 species